GCGGGGCUGGGCGGGACUGGAACCGGCACUUGGCACCCCUUACGCCUUACGGUGGCCGCUGCGCCCAGUCACAUCUAUUGCAUUUCUCUGGAAUGACCACAGCAAUAUUUCCAGCCCUUGAUGAUCUUCUAGAACUUUGCCACUUCCCUGCAUCAAGAGCCUUUCCUUGAAAUUGCUGGAGCUUGUGCAUCAUCAAAAUAAUGGCAUAAACCAAGGAAGAAGAAAACAAAAUUGAGGAAAUGGGAUCCAACACAAAAGAGAGACAACAGGAUUAAUUGAGUGUUGGUGAAAAGCCACAGCCUGUAAAUAAUGCAGUUCGAACUGAAAUAGACCAGGAGGCUCAAGGAGAGACUUCUUCAAGAAGAUAAAAUUGAUAGAAUGCCUAAGGAGUUUGAGUGCAUUGAGAAUAGAUUCAUAUCAGUUCUGGAGAACUGGGUGGAUACAUUAAUGUUAAGUACAUAGAAAAGUUAAAAAUGAAAAAAAUUCUCAAUUCUAGGGAAAAUAAUCAUAGUAAACUACAUGUUUUAGUUACCAAUAGUGUUUACGUAGUCAAUAUAAACAAUGGGCAUUGAUAUAAAUAAUGUAUGUUGAUCUGCUAUAACAAGGUAAAAUGCUAUUGGGG
rnacentral:lncRNA from 1 species